GGGGUGAGUAAAUUAUCAGCAAAAAUUCUUUAAAAAGUGAACUACUCCUUUAAUAAGGCAUUUUGUUCUUUUGCAGCGAUGAAUCAUAUUCACAAGAAGACCAGAAAUACGUGCCGAAAAUACCCAAUCUGGCCCGACGAAAGUGUCCAUCUGGCCAUUCUGAAGGGCUGGUUGUCCUCUGAGGUGCCUGUCCACCAAGGUUCAGAGUAUAAACUUAGUCUGAGGCUGUCAUGUAAGCCACACACCGUAUCCACCUUUCCCAGCCAGCCUCCAUCACCGAGUGUACGCGCAGUGUGUGCUGCUCCAGGUGGUCCACGGCCUGCCUCUUCGGCUUAUCCAUGCUUAUUCAAGCUCGUCGAGGCUCAAGAGGCUGAGACUCACUUUGCGUAGCCCCCCUGCCGUGGUGGAGGGGACAGCACUAAGCUGUGUUUUGGGCAGAGCAGAGAGGAUUGCAGUGAGAUGAAUGGAGAAUAUCAGGAGGGAGGGGGAGUGCGAAAGAGAGAUAUCGAGGCCUUGUUCGUGGUUUGCCAUGCUGAGCAGGUCCACCAACUUGACUAGCAUCAAACCAGUGACAUACAGUAAAUGCCAGUCCAAAAUUGGGCAUUUUAGGCCUUCAGAGAUGAAAGCAUGAGACUGCGGCCAGGCUAAACAAGUCAGUGCAUUAAUCAUCUAAAGUGAAGAGAGGAGAACAUUACAACACAAGAAAUACCGUGAAGU